GAAACUGAAACUUGACCAUUCGAGUCCGACAAUCAAUAGAGGAAUAAGAAGAAUACAACCAGUCCAUACCCAGAAUCACAUCAAAAUCUACCAUGUCUAACUCAAUCAGAUCAGCCAACAAGACUCUAUGAAGAACGGUAACAGGACACUUUUUAUACACUUUCUGGGCAACAAUCGAAUCACCCACUGGGGUAGAAACUAGGAUAGGCUCAGGAAUAAUCUCAGGACUCAUUUCAAAAUUCACAGCAAUCAAAGGUGUAACAUAUGAGAAACUGGAUC
rnacentral:lncRNA from 1 species